GAUGAACGCUGGCGGCGUGCCUAACACAUGCAAGUCGAGCGAACGGACGAGAAGCUUGCUUCUCUGAUGUUAGCGGCGGACGGGUGAGUAACACGUGGAUAACCUACCUAUAAGACUGGGAUAACUUCGGGAAACCGUAGCUAAUACCGGAUAAUAUUUUGAACCGCAUGGUUCAAAAGUGAAAGACGGUCUUGCUGUCACUUAUAGAUGGAUCCGCGCUGCAUUAGCUAGUUGGUAAGGUAACGGCUUACCAAGGCAACGAUGCAUAGCCGACCUGAGAGUGUGAUCGGCCACACUGGAACUGAGAAACGGUCCAGACUCCUACGGAAGGCAGCAGUAGGGAAUCUUCCGCAAUGGGCGAAAGCCUGACGGAGCAACGCCGCGUGAGUGAUGAAGGUCUUCGGAUCGUAAAACUCUGUUAUUAGGGAAGAACAUAUGUGUAAGUAACUGUGCACAUCUUGACGGUACCUAAUCAGAAAGCCACGGCUAACUACGUG
rnacentral:rRNA from 1 species